GCAAUAUCUACUUGAAAGUAGAAAGCAUGCAAGAUAUAGCGUCUACGAUGAUGUAAAAGCUUUGCAAUAUGCACAGUAACAUAGUAAUGAAGACUUAUGAAGAAGAUAUAACCAUUAUGUAACAAAAUGGCGAAGCAUGCUGCAAUUAUUUUACGAAGAACUCUGAGGAACCUUGUACAAAACAUGUGAGGAUUUCAUGAAAUAUGGACACAACUUCAAUUUGAUUUCAUACGGAAGAACAGUAUGCGGCCAAUGUGGACAACAAAAUCGUUUCGAUGUAUUUCAGGGUAUUGAAUGUACUCGCUAACUAAGUUCAUACAAUACUCGCUGACAUCUUCUCAAAAAUGGCUACACAUAAACCAUAUACUGCUAUCGCUGAAGAAAACAAGUGCUUUGCUUUCAAAUGUCUCCUCGGAGAAAUGUCUCCUUGGGAAACGAAGCGCAUGGCUGCUUUCAAUUAAGAGACAAGCAGGGACCACGUCCACAUGGGCAGGAAUGGUUCAAGCAGCAAUUUUUGCAUUUGUUGGUCAUUCCACCAAUCUUGGAAGCUAAUUAUGCCAGAAAAAAUGUUGUUGUUCUGAAUCGUUUGAUUACCAAUCCAAAGGAACUUUAAAACAGACAAACAAACAUUUAUAUUUAAUGUUUACAAAAUAUUGUUGUUGAUGAAAUUUUGAUUAACAAACUUCCUUUGACAAA